rnacentral:rRNA from 1 species
GACGAACGCUGGCGGCGUGCUUAACACAUGCAAGUCGAACGGAAAGGCCCUGCUUUUGUGGGGUGCUCGCGUGGCGAACGGGUGAGUAACACGUGAGUCACCUGCCCUUGACUUUGGGAUAACUUCAGGAAACUGGGGAUACUACCGGCUAGGAGCUCCUGCUGCAUGGUGGGGGUUGGAAAGUUUCUGCGGUUGGGGAUGGACGGCCGGGUUAACAGCUUGUUGGUGGGGGAGUGGCUUACCAAGGCAUUGACGGGUAGCCGGCCUGAGUGGGUGGCCGGCCACAUUAGUACUGAGGGACGGACCAGACUCCUACGGGGGGCAGCGGGGGGGAAUAUUGCACAAUGGGGGGAAGCCUGUGGCAGCAACGCCGCGUGCGGGAUGACGGCUUUGUGGGUAUAAACCGCUGUAGCCUGUGACGAUGCGUUAGCGACGGUAAUAGGUAAAGAAGCACCGGCUAACUACGUG